rnacentral:sRNA from 1 species
GCGGAGACACACGUUUCCGUUCACUCCUCACACCACACCCCGCCUGGACAGUUAUUGGUUCGGGCGGCU